UACGUAGGGACCGAGCGUUGUCCGGAUUUAUUGGGCGUAAAGGGCGCGUAGGCGGCUUGGCAAGUGGAAGGUGAAAUCCCUCGGCUUAACCGAGGAACUGCCCUCCAAACUGCUUUGCUUGAGGCCGGGAGAGGUGAGUGGAAUUCCCAGUGUAGCGGUGAAAUGCGCAGAGAUCGGGAGGAACACCCGUAGCGAAGGCGGCACUCUGGGCCGGUACUGACGCUGAGACGCGAAAGCGUGGGGAGCGAACAGG
rnacentral:rRNA from 1 species